GAUGAAGAACAUAGCGAAAUGCGAUACGUAAUGUGAAUUGCAAAUUCAGUGAAUCAUCGAGUCUUUGAACGCACAUUGCGCCCCCUGGUAUUCCGGGGGGCAUGCCUGUCCGAGCGUCAUUGCUGCCCUCAAGCACGGCUUGUGUGUUGGGCCCCGUCCUCCGAUCCCGGGGGACGGGCCCGAAAGGCAGCGGCGGCACCGCGUCCGGUCCUCGAGCGUAUGGGGCUUUGUCACCCGCUCUGUAGGCCCGGCCGGCGCUUGCCGAUCAACCCAAAUUUUUAUCCAGGUUGACCUCGGAUCAGGUAGGGAUACCCGCUGAACUUAAGCAUAUCAAUAAGCGGAGGA
rnacentral:misc_RNA from 1 species